GAAAUGCGAUAAGUAAUGUGAAUUGCAGAAUUCAGUGAAUCAUCGAAUCUUUGAACGCACCUUGCGCUCCUUGGUAUUCCUUGGAGCAUGCCUGUUUGAGUAUCAUGAAAUCUUCAAAGUAAAUCUUUUGUUAACUCAAUUGGUUUCUACUUUGGUAUUGGAGGUCUUUGCAGCUUCACACCUGCUCCUCUUUGUUCAUUAGCUGGAUCUCAGUGUUAUGCUUGGUUCCACUCGGCGUGAUAAGUUAUCUAUCGCUGAGGACACUGUAAAAGGUGGCCAAGGUAAAUGCAGAUGAAACGCUUCUAAUAGUCCAUUGACUUGGACAAUACUUUUAUGAUCUGAUCUCAAAUCAGGUAGGACUACCCGCUGAACUUAAGC
rnacentral:misc_RNA from 1 species